AGAGUGUUGGAGUUUGUUGGUUGUGCUGUUAGGAAGGAGAAGUCAUCAGUGCUGUGAGGAGCUGCACAUGAGAAAUUGCUGGGAAGGUUUUGAAUGGGAGGACUUAAAGAGGCUUCUAAGCAGCAAUUUGGAGGUGGAUGGCGCAGUCUUGGGUGCUACAAGAACUUGCAAAACUACAGGACUAAGACAAGGAAGAUGAAGAUUGAUGCUCAUUAGAAAGCCUCAGGAAUUGUCUUGGAAGGGAGAGAAGCAGCUCAGGAAGAGAGAAACGGAAAAACUGUAAUAUGUACAACAAUUUUGAGAAUUGUUUAUCUCCUACACCCUCAGGGGCACUCCUGGUGAGCUGGGCUGUGCACACAGGGCUUCCCAUGGGGUUCAGCACCUGCAUUAGGUGCCUGCAAGCUCCUGCUUCCCUUCUUGGCACUACUCCACUUCCCCUUACUCUCCUUCCCUGCUGCUGGCGCCUGCAUCCCUCCCUCACAUGGUUCCUCUCUGUCAUUUUGCCUCUGCUUUUGAAGUAAUACUUACAAACGUCCUUACUGAUAUUCCCCUGCUUUUGACAAGCUAGUUCCUUCAUUUUAAAGCCUUAACUAUAUGUAGAUGUGACCCUACUAAACUAAACCAGCGAUUUUCAGCUUGGUUCAGCACGGCAGUGAGAACAUUCCUACUUUGGACUAGAGGGAGGCUGCUGAAGCCAACAUGAGGUGGCUUGAACAGCACUGAAAUAGGACAUUCCAAAGAAUGUGCUCAUAUUGUGCACAGAGUGAAGUUACCCGAGAGACACUUCUGUUGUAAAAAGGUUUUUAUGGAAAAUUAGAUGUUUACAAAACAGGGAAAGCACUGAAAUAUUUGUUUGGGUUGAUUUUCCCCCCUGAAUCAUUUAAAUGGCAAUAUGCAAAGCAAAGUAAUUUUUCUUGUAUGUCACACUGUUUCAUUAAGGCACUAACAGAAGACACUUGAUCUAGAAAUUAAGAUAAGUUGCUUCAAUCAGUACUAAGUAGCAGGUGCCCUUAGUGAUUAAAUGUAAUAGAGUAUUUCCAUUAUUCUAUUAAGCUUUAUGUCAGCAGUUGUCAUAGUUCCUCUCAUGUACUGAAAUACUGUGAAAACACAUUCAGAACAAUAUUUUGAGAUCUUGGAAUUAAUGCUUUCUGAGAGUGUAGAUAAAUAGGAUUUUCUUUGCAUGUAAAAUUUACAAAAUUUUUGUUGGAUCUACAGCAGAUUAAAAACCAGGAACCAAAAUAUUUUCUUUUCCUGUGAAGGAUGAAGUAUUAGGUUUAACAAUAGAGUAUAUUUCUGACACAGUGU